rnacentral:rRNA from 1 species
AAAGUCGUAACAAGGUUUCCGUAGGUGAACCUGCGGAAGGAUCAUUAUUGUCGGGAUGUAUUCCUGUCAAGAUACCACCCUAUGUUUAUUAGUACCUCUGUUUCCUCAGCAGGCUUGCUUGCUAGUAGGACUGUUUAAACGCUCUUGUUGUAGCCAGCUAUAUCAGUUAUUAUUAAUGUAAAAACUUUCAACAACGGAUCUCUUGGCUCUAGCAUCGAUGAAGAACGCAGCAAAAUGCGAUAAGUAGUGUGAAUUGCAGAAUUUAGUGAAUCAUCGAAUCUUUGAACGCACAUUGCGCCCUUUGGUAUUCCAUUGGGCAUGCCUGUUCGAGCGUCAUUUAAUCCUUCAAGCUUUGCUUGGUGUUGGGUGGUUGUCCUACCAUAGGGUAUGGACUCGCCUUAAAUAUAUUGGCAGUGAAUAGGCUAGUUUUGCAUGCAGCACACGCAAGCAAUUCUAGCAGAUUUCUACCCAUAAGCUCCCCAUUAAAUUUGACCUCGGAUCAGGUAGGGAUACCCGCUGAACUUAAGCAUAUCAAUAAGCGGAGGAAAAGAAACCAACAGGGAUUGCCCUAGUAACGGCGAGUGAAGCGGCAGAAGCUCAAAUUUGAAAUCCGACUCUUUUAGAGUCUGAGUUGUAAUUUGUAGAGGGUGCUUUGGAGUUGGCAGCAGCCUAAGUUCCUUGGAACAGGUCAUCAUAGAGGGUGAGAAUCCCGUAUGUGGUUGCUCUGUCUUCGCCAUGUAAAGCCCCUUCAACGAGUCGAGUUGUUUGGGAAUGCAGCUCUAAAUGGGAGGUAAAUUUCUUCUAAAGCUAAAUAUUGGCUAGAGACCGAUAGCGCACAAGUAGAGUGAUCGAAAGAUGAAAAGCACUUUGGAAAGAGAGUCAAAAAGCACGUGAAAUUGUUGAAAGGGAAGCGCUUGCAGCCAGACAUGCUUAUAGUUGCUCAUCUAGGAGCCUUCCUAGUGUACUCUUCUACAAGCAGGCCAGCAUUAGUUUAGGCGGUUGGAAAAAGACCUGUGUCAUGUGUCUCUCUUUAGAGAGUGUUAUAGGGCAGGUGGAAUACAAUCAGCCUAGAUUAAGGUCCGCGCAUUUGCUAGGAUGCUGGCGUAAUGGCUGUAAGCGGC